rnacentral:lncRNA from 1 species
AAAUAUCAACAAAAUUAAUCGCGCAAAAUAAAAAACAAAAAAUCCUCAAUUGUCAUAAGGUUCAAAAUAACCGAAUUUAGUUAAGUUGAGUUGAUCAGUUCUCACUUGGCCAUCAUGACCUUAACGAACUCGUCGUAGUUGAUGUAAUGACCCUAAAGGUCAUUUUUGGAAAUUUUCAUAAAAUGACCGUUCUACCCCUCCCGAUAGUUUCCCCGAGUCCUAAUUUUUGUAAUUUCGAAGUUGGUUUGAAGGAAAAUUGAUGAAAAGUUGAGUUUUUGGAAAGUUGAGUUUUUAAGAGUUAAAGUUUGGUUAAAAGUGCUAUUUCGAGUCAUUUGGAGUUUCGAGACUCGAAUCGGAUUUCCGUCGAUUUCAACAAUUUUAGAAUGUCGAAACGGGUCUAUGAGAAUUUACGGAGUCGAAUUUGGAGUUAAAACGAAGAUUUGAGGUCCUAAGUUGCAAAAAUUGUGAAAUUUUGAUCAAGAGUUGACUUUGGUCAACAAACGAGGUUCCGGUGCUCGAAAUGGAAUUCCGAGGGCACCGUUGGAUUCAGGGGGUGAUUCUAAGUCUAGAAUGAGUCUUGGUUGAAUUUUUAGAGGCUCCGAGUGCGUUUCGAGUUUUUGAGCCUAAAGUUAGUUUCUUGACGCCUUAUCGGAUACCGGGUCAAGGAGACCUCGAAUUCAAAUUCCGACGAUUUCAUUGAGUCCGAAAUGUCAUUUUCAAGCUAGUAGCAUAUUUGGUUUGUGUUCGGGAAGUGCCAAAUGAGUUUUGGGUGAGCUUUUAAGCUUCUUGGAUGCUUUGACACUAUUUCAGCAAAUUGUGACAACUAAAGGGUUCAUUAUUAGUUUUAAGGGUCGAAAAAUUAUUCCGAAGGUUCUGGAAUUUUGAGCAUGAAUUAUAGGACUUAUUUGUAAAUUUUGGUGCAUUUUCGCUAACCCGAGAUUGGACUUUUAUCGCAAAUAAGAAAUAAUUGUUUACCGAGUAGAAAUGAUAUUUGACUGGGCAAACGAGCAUGAAAUUGAGCUCCGAUUGAACGAGCAGGUCCGUAUCAUUAUUUAAGACAUUUACAAAAAAAGAAUCGGGUCAUUUCACUAUCGUAUGAGGAAAUUACGGCCUUUUUAGUGAAAGAUUAACUGCUGUUUUUCUGGUGCAUAACAGUCAUGCACUGUUAUAAAAAUCUCAGACUGUGUUCAUUUGGUAUUUUGAGCAUAUCGGGAGUUCUAGAGAUCGGAAUGGAGUGAUUCUUACGGGUUUCUUCUUGAAUUAAUAUGAGGGUUAGUAUUCAAUCUUCAAUUCGACAUUUUCUCAUAAUUUCUUAAUCUGCUUUUUCUUCCUAUCCGUAGAUCUCUUGGGAAAAAUUGGGGUUUUAUCGAUUUGGACUCCCUUUUUGAUGAAAAAGGUAUAUUGGCUGUUGAAUAUGAUCUGUUUAGUAUAGGUUGGUUGGUUUGCUGCUAGAUUGAAGUUUCGGUGGUUCGGUUGGGAUUGAAAGGAGUUGUUUGUAGCUGCUAGUUUUGCUUAGUUUAGAGUUACUUGCGAGUACCUGUGGUUUUCGGUACUCACCCUUGCUUCUACACAAUUGUGUAGGUUGACAGCUCUCUCAGAUUCGGCUUAGUAUUUUCUUUAGUAGAUUGAGCUUCGGGACAUACUCGAGAGGUAGCGGUUCAUUCCAGACGUGCCCUUGAGUUAUCUUUACUUUCAGUUUUGUUCUAUUCGAGAACUAUACUCUGAGACUUGUAUAUUUUUAUUCGAAUUCUGUAUUUAGAGGUUUGUACAUGUGACAACCAAAUUCUGGGUAGUGUUGAGUUUUAAUUAAAGUCUUCCGCUUAUUUAUUAUCUCUUAUUCUCGUAUUUCUACUUCUCUAUCGUUGUGGUUGGGUUAGGCUGACGUGUCCGGUGGGAAAUGGACACGUGCCAUCGCAUCCAGAUUUGGGGUGUGACAGUUGAUCUGUCCAUCACCAUCCACGUCAGCUUCACGAAUCAUCUCGUCAACCUCUUCAUCUGUAAGCUUCUCGCCUAGGUUUGUCAUGACAUGGCGUAGCUCAGCUGCAGAAAUGAAUCCAUUCUGAUCCUUGUCAAACACUCUGAAAGCUUCCUUGAGCUCCUCCUCAGAAUCAGUGUCUUUCAUCUUCCGAGCCAUUAAGUUAAGGAACUCGGGGAAGUCAAUGGUUCCAUUUCCAUCAGCAUCAACUUCAUUGAUCAUGUCUUGAAGCUCAGCCUCAGUUGGAUUUUGUCCCAACGAACGCAUCACGGUUCCAAGUUCCUUAGUGGUGAUGCAACCUGUAGAAAAAUUUGGCAAUAAAUUACAAAAAAUGUAUUGAUAUUGUGUUACAAAUCUUACAACAGUACUUAAAAAGGUUUAUUCUUUUUCUUAACUUAUUCAUUCUACCAGAAAAGUUCUAGACAAGCACAAAACAACGAGAAUAGCUAAACAAAACUAACACAUCACUAACCGCAUUCAUGACUUAAAAUUAUAAAAUAUAUAGGAAAAACAGGGAAAAUCUUUUCAAUGGGAGGACAGACCAAAUUUUAUUUUCAUCGAGCCAAUGCGAAGGGUUUGGUUAAGACACGCCAGAUUCCACCAAGUAUACAAAUGGAAUCUAACCAUACAUGUCCUCCGAUUAUAUCUUCUAAAUCGUCCCCACUAUGAAUCCAUCCUUCCCCUCCAAAAGGGGAUUUUAGUAGAAAACCAAAAAUAAUGAUACUCAAGCUAAGGGUCAAAUUGGUAGUUUUUCUUACAUCUCCCCCUCCCGGAAAUCAGGUUCGUCCGUAAUCUGUUUCAAACAAAAGAUGUAGUCAUCCCAACCAAACGCGGUCAGGUUUAGGUGUUACAGCUAAAUUCGCUUAUAUAAUACUACCAAGUCUGAAACUUUCUAAGGACAUAUUUAUCAGCUAGUUGGUAAGAAAAGCAAACAUAAGUAUAUAUAUACUUUCUUUUGAGAAAAAGUAACUGUAACAUAAGUAAACUUUUUAGGUCUUCUGGCUUUUUUGCUGAUGAUUGAUGUAAAGCUUGAGAAUUUAUGUUUGUACAUUCGAAGCAGUAGCCUUUUCAUUAGCAAUUACAAUGAAAAAAAACAUUACUUAUCAUCAUAAUAAUAAAUUAACUAACUAAUUAUUUUUUCUUACUCUUUGUUGGAAAUUAGCAAAUGAAGUGAUUGUAAUUAACCAAAAAAUAUUACUUUGCCAAUUAAUCUGCAACUAAUUUAAUCUAUCCAUCUAUAGACUAUACGUUAGGCAUAAACAAUAUGCCAUUUUUUCCUUUUUUUUUUUAGACUUUUUCUCCAUUUUCCCUUCUUUCUUUUUUUCAAUUAUUGCAUACCCAAAAAUGAUUUUAUAUAUAUAUGUAUAGAUAUGAUGUGGUUAUUACAACAACAUUUUAGACCUUUUAUUUUCUUCAUGAAACGUUUCUUAAAAGUCAUGGUUCAUUAAUUUAUUUCCCUCCAGCUCCUUGUAAGUCUAUUCAUAUUUUACAUUAUGGAUACUUUAAAUAUCAAAAAUUUAUAUUAUAAAUUACCAUCAAUAUAUCAGUUUUCAACAUUCUUGUAAACAUUUGUGCAUUUAUGUCUAUGCACUCCACAAAGGUAAGCACAUACAGUAUCUAAUCUUCUUUUCUCUUCUCGAUUCAGUACUUUUUUCUUCAUCUACACAUUUUCUAAGUUUUUUGUGUCUUUCUCAAUUUUUUUCUAUUUUCCUUUCGAAUUUCAUAUAGUAUUGUAAAUUUAUAGGUGAAGGUGAUGUUUGAAGAAAAAUACUAAAUUUGACGAUGAAUUGAAAAUGUCGGUCCAAUAUAUGUUUUUCUACGUUGAAGCAAAUUUAAGGCCAAAAUAUGGGGUACGUGAAUUGUAGUUUCUCUGAAAAAAUUAGGUGUUUUAUGUAUAUGAUUUUUAGAAUUAGUAUAAUAUUAUAUGAUGACACUCAUGCUAUAAGAAGACUAAAUGAUUCACUUGAUUGAAUGUUGAGUUAUUCCGUCCUAAAACCCUUAUGUUUAGUUGAGAAAAAAUAUCUUUAUCAAGAGUGGUUCAUUAUGACUUGUAAUAAAAUUUAACAUGAAAUAGUAAGAGAUGUUCUCUCUUUUGGUAUGCUAUGUAAUUAUUUACUCUUUUUUUUUUUCUAUUUUUCUUCUCAUAUAAAAUAGUGAUGAUACAUUUUAUUUGGUAAUUACUAAUUUAUUUGUUGCUGAAAAUUGAGUCUAUUAUUAAUUGAUUCUUUGAAAUAACAGGAUGGCCUGUGAUGGCAAACCGACAAUUUCUAUGCAUACUUGAGAUGAAUAAUCAGAUGUUAAAGUAGUGUAUUUUUUUUUUGUUAUCCCUGUGUCAUCUAUCUAUGCAAUAGUUAGUGGAAGACUAAAACAAAUCAUUCUAAAUUGAAUAGAUUAUACUAAAUGAUAUUAAAUCAUUUACAUUAAAAAUUCGAAUAAUCUUCUUCAUGUUUUUGCAAAUUUCGUUAGAGGCAAUCUACAUGCAUUUAUAAUUUUUUUCAAGCAAAGAUUUAUCAACAUUCAUAUCAUUAGAGACUAUAUUAUCUUAAGUAGUUUCACAUAUUUUUUAUGGAAAUACAUUGUCCUGCUUGUAUGAAUUUUAUUGAUGAGUAAAAUCCAUAUUGUGUAUUCAACACUAUCUAUUUUAUAACUCAACUUUUUAAAUAUAUAAAAUUUAUAUAAUAAUGAUAAGGGACAAACGUGCAAUGCACGUUCCCAAAGACUAGUAUUAUUAUAAGUGGGAAGCUCCAACCUUGAAAGUUGAAUUACCAUUAUACCCCUACUCUUAAUUUAAAUGCCACAAACCAACUAAUUAAUCAAACAUUAAUAAUAAUCAUAUUAUUAUACUAUUAUACCACUACCAAUCAUAUUUAUUAUAUUAUAUAUCAACAUAACAUAAUAUAAUUAUAAUAAUAAUAAUCUCUGAAGUUAAAUGUUGGAUUACAAAAAUAACCUUAUAAAGUUGAGUUACUAACUUACUAUAAUAUCAUUUAACUAGAUAUUACUUAAAAAAAAAAAUUAUACAAAGAUGUAAAUGCACAUUCUUAUAAAAAUAUAUAUAUUCAGUUAGAAGAGGGUAAACGUUCACCUUUCCCUUCAUUAUUAAAAAUAGUCAUCUUAAUUCAUAAUAAAGGUAAAUAAUAACUUCCAUGCAUGAAUGUGAUCUAUUUUUGUUCAAUGUACUACACCUUUUCUUCUCUUAUCUUUAAUUUUUGCUCAUUUAUCUUCUACCUUUAUAGCCUUUUGAUAUUCUUUUUAUCACCUUAUAAUCUGCAAAAAUUAAUAUCAUUUCAUUAUCCUUUACCGAUAUUGUUUCUUCUCCUAAAAAUCACUGGUUGAUGUAGCUACUUAUCUACAUUAGUACACCUGAUUCUGCCAAAAUACGUAUUAAAUGAUUUGAGGAAACUAGAUUUGAUCUACCAUUUGAUCAAAUCACUAAAUUGGAACUAUAUUUAGAUCAAAUCAUCUAAAUGGAAGUAGCAUUACUAUUGCAAGUUUCUAUCAGGUAAGCCUUUGAUCAUAUUAGAUGAAUAUGUACAAUCCAGUAUUGAUUGUUUACAGAGUAAAUGAGUAUCCUGGGGAAUUUGCAACCUUGUCCCUUGUUUAUUUGCUUCCAUUUUCCCCCCUACUUAUUUACUUAUACUAACUUUAUCACUUUGUAAUAUAAAUUUAGAGCAUUCUAUAAGCUCUAAAUUGGUACUAAUUUUUUUUUAAAUUUUCGCAAGUUGAUAUUUUUUAUAUGAUGUAAAGGAUAACUUUGCAACAUCAAUUAAUUAUAUAUUUUUGCUUUAUGCAGAUUUUAUACGGUUGAAUCAGUGAAAAGAUAUAAUUUCUUUCUUUUCGAUUCGCAUCGUAGGUAAUUGUUCUAUUGAAAAUUUUAGCACUUUUUAUGGACUAUCAAACUAAUUUUUUCCUGUUUGCUUUUUAUCAAUUAUUUGUACAUUACAAAAGUCUAUUUUUCUCAUCAAUUGUUUCUAACAUUUCAAAAUCUCGAAAUAUACUUACUAAUGAAUACCAUUUUCAAUAAUAAAUACUAUCUUUGGGAUAAAAAUAUAAUAUUAUACUUCAUAAUUCAUUGUACUUAAGUCUCCAAAACAUAAUUAUUAUUUUUUAUGUUAUAUUAAUUUCUAAAUUUUCAUUUUUCAUAUAUUAUAUUAUUAUUUUGAAAGUUGAAGCCUUUUAAGUUAAAAAAAUGAAUUACCAAAAUGUCCAUUGUAAGUUGGUCAUUUUUACUGAUUAGUCAUGAACCAUUUCUUCAAUAUUCAAGUUAUACAAAAUUGUAAGAAAAUAUUUCAUAAAAUAUUACCAUUAAAUUAUUAUAAAUUUGUAAUCAAAUUAUACUAAAUCACAGAAAGACAAAUAAGUUGGGAAGUGUAACCAUUACCUUAUUGAAUAGCUACUAAUGCAAAUACAUAUAUUUUCGUCCUAUACACUUAUAAUUAUAUAAAUUUACUAUACGUCAAGGAUAACAAAUUGAAUAGCUACUAAUUCUUUGUUUUAUAUUUCUUGUAUAUAAUAGACAGCAAUCAGCAAUCACUCCGACCCAUUGACUCUAAAAGUCUUGGAUCAAAAUUUUAGGCAAGACCUGAAAGAAUAAACACAUAAAAAUAAUAAAAACAACAAACAUAUUUAUCAUAUGAAUUUUGGUAAUCCUCCCUUAAUGAGUUAGCUUUUGGGGUUGAAUUAGGUGUAAGUAUCAUAUAUUUUACUUGGUAUCCGAGCUGGGGACUGGCUAUGUUUAUAUGGAUUUGAGCAAUCCUCUCUUAGUGAGCUAGUUUUGGGGGUUGAGUUAUACUCAAAUGUCAUAUCUUUACAUGGUAUUAGAGUCGGGGUCCAUUCCCACUCGAGCUCCUUGCCCACGCUCCAGUUGAACCUGUGCGUGAAGGGGUGGUUAGAGUUCCACUUUGGUUGUAGAAUGAACUGAUGGUCUGCUUGUAUGUAUUUGGUUGAGCUAGGUUUUUGGGUCGAGUUAAACCAAGUAUCAUAUCUUUACAAGUACCAAAAAGCACAAAGGAAUGGACUUGUCCAUUCAAGUAUUUAUGUAAUCUAGCAAAUGAUGAGCGAAUGCAGUGUAAGGUCUGUGCCAUUUACAGUGUUCUGUCUUUUCCACAUAUAAAGUUUGCUCACCAUGGGGUAUAUACUUGAGAAAAGGUGACUUGUUUGCCCUUUAAAACAUCUAUGAUUUCUUUCUAUCCAAGUGCACUUCUUACCAUAUUGAUAUGAUGAGAAUUGCAACUUAUAGUACUUUUUGUUUUGUUUCCAAAUUUCUAAAUUUUAUUGCCUGGAUUUACUGCGAAAGUUAGUCACAUUGACUCUUCUUUAGAAAAUGUGCCAAACAUAUUAAGAUGGAAGAAGUGAUCCUUUUUAAAUGGUUUAAUCGUAUGAAGGUUAGCUAAGGUGGUGGAUACGCCCACACCCUAUGCAAUUACUCUGCAUGUUAUAUUGGUUGUCUGUAUGCCUGUGUUUGCGGGGAUGUGUCUGCAUCUAUAGGGGAGAGUUGUAAAUUGAUUGUAGUGCUGUUCAUUAUAUGCUUAACUGUGACUUGUUGUGUUUUCCCAAUGUAGUAGCGUUGAAGUGUUCUGCUUGACACUAAAUUGAAACACUUAUAGGAACAACCAUUACAACUUCCCGAUCCCAGAUUGGUAAUAUGAAUCCUCUAUUUCCAUUCCACUUCUAUUAGGUUUCAUGCUAUUCCUAUAUGAAACGCCACCUAGUGCAUCCGGGAGCAGGCGGUGGGUGCAGAAAUGUUAUGCUGUAAUCCUAGUAGGACUGGUGAAACCUUUUAGUCAAUCUGUAGUCAAGUGAAAGUUGGAGUUCUCCUUUUGUGUGCGGGUUCUGCUCUGAAUAAUUCACUUUGGCUGAUUUUCUUGCCACCUUAUAUAUGAUGAAUAUUCUUCAUGUUUUGUAAUCAACAUUAUCACUCAAAAUUUAGGCUUUUCUAAGUGGACAGAAGGGAAUAGUGUCCUUCUGAGGUUGGCCAAUUACCAAAAGCAAGCCCCUCUUAUUUUUAGUUAAUUGCUUCUUGGGAGCUCCAAUCGUUCCCCAUAAACUCCUCUUUAUAAUCCUUUUCAGGUGCCAGUAGUUCUUUUACAAGGAGGGGAUGGCAAUCCUGUUAGCAAUCAAAUGUGGGGCAAUGAAUGUGAGGAUGCCUCUGAUCAUUCACUAGAGAGUGGCAUACCUACUUUGAUAACAUGGAGUUAUGGUGGUAAUAAUGUUGCUAUCCAAGGAUCUUGGGACAACUGGACAUCAAGGUAAACUCUGGCCUCUUAUUUAGGAGUUGAACUAGAUUCAACCAAGUACUAGCUGUUGCGAUGACUCCUGUUAAUGGAGUUUCUGAAUGUAUCCACUAAUGAUGUUUGCUUGCAGGAAGAUUCUCCAAAGAUCAGGCAAGGACUAUACCGUCUUUUGGUCCUUCCAUCGGGUAUAUAUCAUUACAAAUUCAUUGUGGAUGGAGAAGUUAGAUAUAUUCCAGAACUUCCUUGUGUAGCAGAUGAGACAGGCGUUGUCUUUAAUCUUCUUGAUGUUAAUGUAAGUGAGAAUUCUGCUUCCUGAUUAUUGAGGGGAAGCUGAUUUACAUUUACCUAAUGAACUGAUAUUUACAUUACCACAGCAGAGGCAUCAUUGAUAACUUUAGAACAUUGAUGCAUAAACAUGUGUUCUAUAGUCUAUAUACCUGCUGUUCCCUGAGAAUUUGUUUGGCUCUUAACACAAUCCGCAUCCUUCCUACAGGACAAUGUUCCAGAGAACCUUGAAAGUGUUGCAAUGUUUGAGGCCCCACCAUCACCUGACUCUAGCUAUGCGCAAGCUUUGCUGGGAGAUGAGGAUUUCGCAAAGGAGCCAGUGGCAGUUCCACUCCAACUUCAUCUAACUGUUCUUGGUUCUGAAAACUCAGAAGAGGCACCUUCUUCUCCAAAACCCCAGCACGUAGUACUUAAUCACCUCUUUAUAGAGAAAGGAUGGGCUUCUCAAUCCGCUGUUGCUCUUGGUUUGACGCAUAGAUUCCAGUCGAAAUAUGUCACUGUUGUCCUCUACAAGCCACUGAAGAGGUGACCACCCCGUGUUUACAAUCAAAUCUUUCCAGAGCUUUCUCAGUGUGGCUGCAUUAAGAUUUCCACUGUUUAUAGACCUGCUCAACGUUGAAACUUCCUUUAACCUCUCUUCUCUGUUGUACAAUAGUUUCAAGUUUUAUCAGCAAUGCAUUUUCUCCUUUCUUCACUGUCUUUUCAGUGAUUUUAUGUUCUCAAAAGGAUUAAUGUGAAAAAUGAAAAGAAAAUAUAGUUAGCUCGAUUUUGAAUCUCAUUCACCACCAAUGCUUCUUUUGGUAAUAUUCUGUUGUGGAACAAAAUAUUUCUCAUCUCUUCCUCGAAUAGAUUCUUGUUUUUUGUGGUUUAUUAUUUUGGAAUUUCAAUGAACUAAUUGUGGAUGGGUCAUAAGAUUUUAUAUUGCAUAUAACUUAUCAUUAAAGAUUAUCUCACCCUAAUGAUGCUACACACUUUAAGCAAACAGGAUUUAACGAUAGUAAGUCUACAACUUAUUACAUCUUUUCCUUAAAGAAAUAACAGUAAUAUUAUUAGUGAUUAUUUCUUCUUCUGCAAUUCCUUUGCCUUCGCUGCUUCUUUCUCCUUCUCAUCAUUAUUUUGUGCUCCAGCUUUACAAUGAUUCUUGCAAACCAUACCGGUUUUCCACUUGACAUCAUGAAAUAUACUAUGGAUAUUCCAAUACAUAGUCCACUUCCAUACCCCAUAAGAGCAGCUUUCCGAAAAUCACUCUGAAAUUCAGAAUUGCUUUCUUCACCGUCUAGCUGUCCAGAUAUGGCAUAAGUUGUCCCACAACUUUUUGAAACAGGAAAACCACGUAAUCCAUCAUUGCCUUCAUAUGAAUUGUUCUCAAAGGUAUGAAAUUGAUUUCCUUGAGGAAUGCACCCUUUCGAGAUGAUUGUAAGAAAGAUUGAAGACUUCAAGAGAUGUAAGAGAAGCAAAUUGUGCUGGUAUCUCUCCUACAAGAUGGUUACUUGACAGGUCCAAUGAUUCAACCAAAGAUAAUCUUCCAAGUGAUGGCGGUAUAUGACCUUCCAAUCUAUUAUGAGAUAUAUUCAGCACACGGAGUGCAAUGAGAUCUCCCAUAAUAGUUGGAAUAUGUCCUUCGAAUGUGUUGUUUGAAAGAUCGAUAGUGAUGUACAAAAACAAGAUUCUCACAACUUCACGCUCAUAUCCCUUGGAUACGACAGCUAUCGAGUCUUGGUAAUAUGAAUCUCCACCAUAUUUUGAUGCUUCCAUUGAUGGAUCAGUUGUCCUCAUGGCUUUCAGAUGUUGAAACAAAUUCGAAGGUAAGUUUCCUGAGAAGGCAUUGUAAGAGAGAUCUAUGAUUCGAAGCUCUGGAAACAUGUUCUCAAUCCUUGAUGUUCUGAUGGGACCAUGCAAUUUGUUGAAUCGCAAGCUUAGAACUUUCAGCUUUGGCAGAGUCCCCAACCACACGGGGAAUGUGUCAUUGAGGUGAUUGUCUCCUAAAUCAAGAACUUCAAGUUGUUUGCAAUUGGUCAAGGAUUGUGGGAUUUUCCCCUCUAGUUUAUUGCCAUGCAAGUUGAGGCUGCUCAGUGAACUUCCAUUGCUGAAAGUUGUUGGAAUAUUCCCAGAAAGAUUGUUGUGGCGCAUAUCCAAAACCUGGAGGGAAGUGAUAUUUCCGAAACACUGCGGAAUUUCUCCACUCAAAUUGUUUGUCGCCAAAUCCAGCAUUAUCAGUGAUGUCAAGUUGCAAAUAGAUGAAGGAAUUUCUCCAGUGAGAUUAUUAUGGGAUAUGAAGAUGAAUCUUGUGGAAUUUGAUGGAAUGGGUAGUGAACCUUGAAGUAAAUUGGACCGCAAAUCAAUAGUAUUUACAGACUGAAGAGGAAUUGAAUCCACACUCGUCAGCAUAUUGUGGGAUAUAUUAAGAUCUUGCAAUGAAAACAUCCAGUUAGACCAUGCCCAAUCAGGAAUUCUUCCUUGAAUCUUAUUAUUUGAAAGAUCCAACUUCCAAAGCUGCUUUGCGGAUCUUAGAAACUCCAACUCUUUCACUUCACAUGCGGCCAAUUCUAACUCAAUAAAAGAUUCGGACAAAGUAACGUUGUUGUCAUUGGUCAAUGAGAUAUUAUUAUAUGAAAGACUAAGAUAUGAAAGCUGUUUGAAGUUUGAAAAGAAGCUGACAUCCACACGACCACUAAAAUUAUUGAAAGAAAGGGAAAGUUCUGUUAGGUUCACAAGGUUUUGAAUUGAGUGGGGAAGAUGACCCUGCAGCUGGUUGCCCUCUAAAUAUAUCCAGAUUAGUGAAUUGGACUUGAAAUCUUCAAAGGGACCAGAUAAGUGAUUAAAACUCAAGUCUAUUGCAUUUAGUGAUGGAAGGGAUAACAUCCCUGGUGGUAUUGUUCCAUUCAGGGAGUUAUUGCGAAGGCCCAAAAUAACUCAAAUGCGGGUGAGAUUUGAAAGAGAUUCAGGAAUAGGCCCUCUAAGGUUGCAACUUUUAAGAGACAAAUAACGCACCGAAGUUAGAUGAUAGCCAAGAGACUCAGGCAAAUUAUCAGAAAAAUUCACGCCCCUGAGAUAUAACUCUACGAGAGAUGCACUGCUGUUCCAUUUGGUCUUUGGAAAAUAACCGCUUAGCUUAUAAUUGAAACCUAAGAAAAGUAUUUCCAGGUUGGGCAGGUGGAAUAUACUCUCAGGUAUUAUCCCAAACAAUCCUGUAUAUGUCAGCCUCAGAGUUGUUAAAUGAGAAGAAAAAUUCAGAGGAAUGGUGGAAGAGAUGUUUAUGCCACUAAGAUGAAGCUCUCUUAAUUGGGUCAAGUUCUGAAGAAGCGAUUUAAAAUCAUGGGUUGUGAGUCUUAGCUUCUUAUAGUCAUAAAUUGUGGANNNNNNNNNNNNNNNNNNNNNNNNNNNNNNNNNNNNNNNNNNNNNNNNNNNNNNNNNNNNNNNNNNNNNNNNNNNNNNNNNNNNNNNNNNNNNNNNNNNNNNNNNNNNNNNNNNNNNNNNNNNNNNNNNNNNNNNNNNNNNNNNNNNNNNNNNNNNNNNNNNNNNNNNNNNNNNNNNNNNNNNNNNNNNNNNNNNNNNNNNNNNNNNNNNNNNNNNNNNNNNNNNNNNNNNNNNNNNNNNNNNNNNNNNNNNNNNNNNNNNNNNNNNNNNNNNNNAGGUCAAGUUCAAUGACAUGUCCAGUGAUGUCAUCACAUACGACUCCAUCCCAUGAGCAGCAAUCUCUGCUCGUGUUCCAUGAACUCGUUUUUGGAUAAGGCUUCGGACAAUCAUAAUAAAGGAUUGCUGAGGGAUGUAUAGUAAAGGACUGCUUGAAUUUUAAAAGUGAAAUGGUUUGAUGUUUGUGAGGUAAUAUGGAUAUUGAAGAAACUUCAUGACAGAGAAACACAAUUAAGAGCAUAAUAACUGCAUACCCCAUUUUUUAGCUUCAAACACUUCCUAACUAUGCAAUAAAGGUAUGCAACUAUAUAUAUAUAUAUAUAGGCACAUAUUUGCUUGACCAGGUCCAAGUUGGAUUGCAGUAGUAAUAAUUAUCAAUUUUGGCAUUUUUAUUUUUCAUUCUGGGGCUAAUAUAUCAUAAGUUCAUUAGGUAUUUUAAUUGACAUGUAUUAUUUUAUUCUUGUAUAAAUAUUUUUUAAAAAUAAUUAUGCAAUGUAUGCUGUUUUUAAUACACUAAAUUAAAUAAUGCAUAAGAAAUAAUAUACAUAUGGUUAAUGCACGAUAACUAAUACAAACGUUACUAAUACACUCUAUUGAACAUUAUUCUUGUAUACCAACCGUACUAAUAGCUGAUUACUUAAUGCAUGCAUUAGCAUGAUUAAAGGAACAACUGCCCCUCAAAAUCUUUUCCAUAUUUUUCCACAAUAUUUGUAGAUGGUAUUUUUGUAAAUAAAUAUUUUUUUAAAAUUAUCAAUGCGUGUUAUUUUUAAUACACCAAACCAAACAAUGCAUAACAACAUAAGAAAUAAUCUCAUAAUAAUAGCUAAUACAAACAUUAUUAGUACAUUAUAUAUUCAUCAUCAUUCUUAUAUAUCCCUACCAAAUGCAUCCUAUGGAUUUGACGGCAGAUUCAGAAUCCAUAUACUUUAAAACCUAACUCUAUCUCUUAUGUUAAUUAUAUAAUAAAGGAAAAAUGCUUAAAAAUGCCAUUGAACUUUGAAAAAGAGCUCAUUUAUGUCAUCUGUUAAACAAUUGGCUCAUCCAUGCCAUUUUCGUUUGAGAAUUAAAGGCUCAUCCAUGCCAUUAUUUGUUCACUGAAAAUAGUUUCGGUUUUGCAAAUCAUUUUUUCCACGUGGUAAAUUAUCAUUCGGUCAUGUCAUUAAUUAAAAAAAAAUUAAAGGGAAAAAGCUCAAAUAUGCCAUUGAACUUUGAAUAAAGCUUCGUUUAUAUUAUCCAUUAAAAGUUUGACUCAUCUAUGCCAUUCACUUAACAAAAAUAAUGGCAUGAAUGAGUAUUUUUCUCAAAUGAAAAUGGCAUAGAUAAGUCAAACUUUUAACAGAUGGCACAAAUGAGCUUUAUCUCAAAGUCCAAUAGCAUAUUUGAGUCUUUUCCUUACAAUAAAUAUAAUUAUAAAUGAAUAUGAGAGGGUUAUUAUUUGAAUGGUAAAAUCAUAUUCCAGUAAAAAAUGUCUCGACAUAAUUUUAAUCGUUCUUAACAAUAGCCAUCUGAUAUCUAAUUGCUUGAUUAAUAUAUAUUAGUAAACUUUAGCAUUAGUCUAAACUAAUGGAGGCCAAGGAGUUGCCGAGCUGGGAGAAGAUGAGGUGUGUUGAAGGAUGUGAAUGAAAUAAUCUUUGUAGAAUAUUAUUUGUGAAACUUGUUAUUUUUCCGAAAAAAACGUAACAAUAAUUUAUUCCACAAUGUAAUUAGUUCCAAAUUCCAUCUUGAUCCAUAGUAAUUUUGAUAUCAACUAAAAUGAAAUAGAGAAAUCAGUGUUUGUUAUUAUUCUCAAGUCUAUGUAGAAGUCUUGCUAUAGAAAUUUCAAAGAAAGCUAUACCACACAAUUUAAUAUCAAUUUAAUGAUAAAUUCCAAAGCUUGCAAAAGAAAAAAUAGGAAGAUAAAUAAAUUAUGGAAACAGUUUUUUAGUUCAAGAACCAACAAAUCCUUACACUUGAUUUAGACAUUUAUUUAUGUGGAUCUAUUUCUUAUUCUGAAGGGAGAUUUAUUUAUAAAGAAAAAAAAAUAACUUUAUUGGAUCAAUAAAUGAUUUAGUCAAGCAUUUUUAAGUAGCAUGUUUGUUUUGGUAUAACGGUAAGAUAUUGAAUUGUUGAGGGACCGACCUUAUUGGACGUGAUAUUAGAAUGAAACAUGGCCUAUUUUUUAUUUUUUAUUUUUAGUUUCAUUCGAUUUUAAAUAUCCACAAUAUGACGUUGAUUAAUCUAGAUUUUCGCCGUGUGAGAUACAUUAAAGACAUAAGCACCAAGUUUUUGACACAGUGUUCCUCCAAAUAACUUUUUUAUUGCACCUAAAAGUAUUAAUGUUGUGGAAAUAUUAAUGAAAGUUACUUAACACACAAAUUUCUUUCACUUCGAAUUUUCAUAUUGAAAUAAAUAAAUACGAAUUUUAUCAUCAAAAGAAUAAGGAAAAAGCAAUAGUCGAGCAAGGCAUGUUGUUGCCUUAAUUCGUAUCAAAGGGAAAAUCACCUAGGUAUACUAUAUCAUUAAAAUAUUUACCAUCUAUAGCAGUAACUUUUUUCUCUUGAAAUAUAUCAAUAUUAGGAGAAUGUAAGAGAAAUCUUAGGAAUAGGAUCUAUAUUCAUUAAAACUUUAGCUAUCAAUAACUUAUAUUUUAAAUUAAUAUUCACAUAUUUUGAAACUAUUUAGUCCUUACACGAGGUCGAGUUUUGGCAGAGAAAUUUCAAAUGAAAGUUACUUAACAAUAUAUGUAUAGGCACGCACAUAUUUGUUUGACUAACUCCAAAUUGGAUGCAGUUUAUCAAUUUAUUUGUGAAAUUUAUAUCAAAUUAGGAGGAAAAUAAGGAAAAAUAUAUUUUGUGAUUUGAAAGAAGAUAAUAUUCCAUAUUGAAAGGAAGAAUUUAAGGGAGGGGAAAAGGAAGAGAUGAGGGAACCGAAAUCAGUGGUGACGUUAUUAAUUUCUUUCCACUUUUUUGUUUUACUAAUUCCUUUUAUUUUCCUUCUGCAUUUUUAAUAAGUUAAUUGUUCUCAACUAUAAGAUAUAUAAUUCCCUACCACCAUUUCAUUAAAUUAAAAGAAACCUUCAUUAUCAUUAAUUUUUGGCAUAAUAAUAAAAUUAUGCCUUUUUUUUUUAAAAAAAGAGGAUAUAAUAAUAAAAUUAUGCAAAAAAGGAGUACGCGGCAUCUUUCUUUAACUUAGCAUCGGUAUUUUUCUUCUUUUUUUCAACUAAAAAUAUUGAUUACAAUUAAAUACACACCCUAUGUUAGUUUCUUCCCUUAAAUUUCUUUUAUUCAUUUCUUUAUGAUUAGAAUUAACAGUUGCACACCGAAGAAGCUAGAGUUUUAAAGAGUGCUUAUUCUUCGAGACCCAUGUAUGACUGUCAAGGCUUAUUAGUUAUCAAUUUAUACACAAUAUUAAUUUCUCUCAACUUUUUUUUCUAAUUGUUUUUUAUUUAUAUAUAACAAUUAGAAAAUUCAAAAAUUAUUUCUUAAUUAUUAUUUAUCUAUUUUUCAAAUUUAGAAAGUCCAAAAGUCAUUAUCAUUAAUUUAGUGAUUUAAUCAUCAUUUAUUAUACAAUAAAUAAUAUUAUAUAAUAAUUUUUAUUUAUAUAUAGAGUAAGCAUAAUUUUUUUCCUGCAAUAUUACGAUAUCCAAAAUAUUUUGAAGAUCAAAAGGUUGAUAACAAUAUAAUUACUAAUACAAAUAUAAUUAUUAUUCAUGAAUAACUUGAAAACAUGAUUUACUGAAAAUAAUUGGAAGAUCAAUACAACGAAAGAAGACACAAAAACUAAAAAAUAGCACAAGAAGAUAAAGAGACGGAACAAAAAAAAAAUCAGAUUUAGAAAACCAAAUAAACUUGGCUAAUUAAGACGAUAACUAUGAAUUAAUUUUAGUUAGGGAAGAAAGAGGACUCAACUUUCCUUUGCUAUAUUUUACUAUAAUUAUAAUUAUAUUUAAAAAUAUAUCUAUUAAUUACUUAAUUAAGUUAUCAUGUUUAUCUUAAAAACUACUUGAUGGUGUAGAAAAUCUUAUACACUUAUAACCCUGAACAAAACUUAAACUCUUAUUUUAAUAAAUUAUAUAGCAAGUUUCAAACAGUUGGUUCUAGUGUUUUCUUGAAACAUCAUAUAAAGAAAUUUAUAUUUUAUGAAAAUUAAUUUAUAUUAGAAUUAUUGUUAUUGUUUUAAAAUGAUGUGUUUUGUUACUGUGCGAAGCGCGAUCAAGUUAACUAGUUUCGAAUAAAAGUGAAAAAUCUUUCAAAUAAAAUGAAUAAUUUACACAAAUAUAAUACGUACUACUUAUAUAAUUAUAAUAUUAGAGAGAGUGAAAGCUAAGGAGUAGUCAAUUCAAAGUUUGAAUUAUUGGAGCAGACUUGGCAGUGACUGAGAGUCCACUUUGCAUGGACAUGAGCCACCUUCCACAAAAAAUGAACACUUUCUUUUCCGUGAAAAUCUAGCUACGAUUUUUAAGUCGUUUUUGUUUGAUCAUAAAUUUUAAAAAUUUGAAUUUAUGUUUAAAAAUAUAUUUAAUUUAGUCAUGAUUUUUUUUAAUAAUAAAGUGAAAAGGAAAUGAUUGUUACUGUAAACUCAAUAAUAAUGGUGAUUCAAAUAUUAUUAAUCCACAUAUAUAUUUUACAUAUCAUUAUUACAUCCAUCUUCCGUAUUAUAAGUGGAUUACAUUUGAAUGGUUAAUCAAAUUUUGUACCAAAUGUAUUAACUUGAUUUAUAGUCACCUCCUUUCUUUACUUUAAUCAGCCCACUUCAAACAACGAUUGGUGCUAUUGCUUUUUUGUUUCUUCUUUUUUGAUUACUUAAUUUUAUUAUUAACUAUUUAAAGAAAUUUCUUUAGAAGAUAAAGCAAAAAACCUAAAAUAAAUCUUAUUUUUAUAAAAAUAAGAUUUAUUUUAGGUUUUUUUUUUGUCUUUAUCUUCUAAAGAAAUUUCUUUAGAAGAAAAAGCAAAAAAAAAAAAACCUAAAAUAAUCUUAUUUUUUUAUAAAAAAAAAAAUCAUUCAGAUCCAAAUAGAGAUUUUUUUCAAUAAAAAUUCCACCUUGACCUAUAGUAAAUUUGAUAGCAACUGAAAAGAAAUAUGGAAAUUAAUGUUUGUUAUCCCAAGUCAAUGCACAAGUCUUGCUAUAGAAAUUUCAAAAAAAGCACUUAAAAAGUAGAGAAAUAUCAUUCUUAAAUAUUAGACACGACUAAGUCAUAUGACAGAGUGUAUUUUUGGUAUAAUUAUAAGAUAUUGACUUGUUUACCUCAUAUUUAGAACUAGAAGUGACUUUUUCUAUAAUAAAAAAAAUUGAUUUCUCAUUCGAUUUUUGAUAUCCACAUUUGGAACCCGAUUAAUUUGGAUUCUCUCGGCGUAAGGCCUAUUAAAGGGGGAAACAACACCAAGUUUUUGGAUGGAGUGUCCCUCCAAAUAUCUUUUUUCUUGCACCGAGAAGUAUUAAUGCAGUUCUUUGAAUUAACAAGUAAUUGCAAUGAGUCUUGCUGUGGAAAUUUCAAUGAAAACUACUUGACCCACACAUCCCUUUCACUUUGAAUUUUCAUAUUGAAAUAACUUACUUAAGAAUUUUAUUGUCAGAAAGAGAGAGGAAAGGGUAAAAGUCAAGUAUGGAGUGCUGCCUCCCUAUCAAAUCAUCAAUCAAUUCCAAGUUCACAAAAUGUUGUCAUUUUCAAAGCAAUGCACAAAGUCUUUCCAGGAAAAUAUCGAUUUGAUGAAAAAGUUCAAAGUUUGCAAAAGAAAAAAUAGAUAAAAACAAAAUAAAGCAAAUUGCGUUUUGGUUCAAGAACCAGCAAAUCCUUACGAUUGAUUUAGAUUUUAGACAUUUAUUUAUGUGGAUCUAUUUCUUAUUUUGAAGAGAGAAAUCUUAGGAAUAUGAGUUUCUUAAGAAAAUAACACAAAAUAUGAGAUGAGUGAUGACACUAAAAUAUUCAAUAAAAAAUAAUAAUGAAAUCAUCAUAUAAAAUAAAUAUUGCAAAGUCAUAAUGAAAAUGAUCAUAAUUUAAAAGUACUAAAUCAUGCUAAAAUAAGUUUAAUAAGUAUUAGUUACAUUACUAAAUAUUUAAGGAAAAUUAAAAUUAGAUUAUGUAUUUUAAUUGUCUAAACCAAUGUAAAACUAAAGAACAAAUAUUCAAUAUUAUUGUCAUUCUUAGUGUUGAAUUGAUUUUCUUUUUACAUUAGUAUUUAUUUGAUUUUGAUUUAUUAUAACUAUCAACGUCUAUGAACUAUAAUCUUUAUUGGACCAUUCUGAAUUCUAAGUUUUAAACUUGAAAUAAUAUAUUAAAAGAUAAAAACUAUGGAAUAGUAUAAGAAAUAUUUUAAAAUUAUAUCAAAGUAAAUAUUUUUAUGUAUAAAAUAAAAUUUUAAAAUUACAUAUAUAAUGUCGGGUUGGUUUGGUCUCAGGUUGAUUUUUUUUAGUUAAAACCAAACCAACCCAAAUAUAGUCGAAUUUUUUUCCAAUAUCAAACUAAGUCAAACCAAACCACUAGUCGGGAUUUUUUCCUGAUUUGAUUCGAUUUUCGAUUCAAUUUUGUACACCCCUAGUUACUUGACAAUCAUAUCCUUUUCACUUUAAUUUUUCAUUUUGAUGUGACUACAACUUACUCUUUACUCUAAAUUCCAUGGACUUAGAAAACUUGAGGCAAUUUGAACAUUAAUGUAAACAAAGAUGUGACACAUAUUACUUUAGAUUUACUCGCCUGUUUCAAAAUAAGUGAUAUUUUUAGUUUGAUUACUUCAUAUUUACCUUCGAUAGGAUAAACACAAUAUACAAACUAACUGUAUUUCCACAUGAUGAUCUUGCAGGCUUAAAAAACUUGAGAAUUUUCAGAGAAAAUUGGAAGAUGAUCAAUGUCUAUUAGAAGUAAAAAAUAACAAGAACAAAUACACAAGAAUCUGAAAUAUCAACAAAAUUAGUCGCGCAAAAUAAAAAACAUAAAAUCCUCAAUUGUCAUAAGGUUCAAAAUAACCGAAUUUAGGUAAGUUGAGUUGAUCAGUUCUCACUUGGCCAUCAUGACCUUGACGAACUCGUCAUAGUUGAUCUGUCCAUCACCAUCCACGUCAGCUUCACGAAUCAUCUCGUCAACCUCUUCAUCUGUAAGCUUCUCGCCUAGCUCAGCUGCAGAAAUGAAUCCAUUCUGAUCCUUGUCAAACACUCUGAAAGCUUCCUUCAGAAUCAGUGUCUUUCAUCUUCCGAGCCAUCAAGUUAAGGAACUCGGGGAAGUCAAUGGUUCCAUUUCCAUCAGCAUCAACUUCAUUGAUCAUGUCUUGAAGCUCAGCCUCAGUUGGAUUUUGUCCCAGCGAACGCAUCAUGGUUCCAAGCUCCUUAGUGGUGAUGCAACCUGUAGACAAAAUUUGGCAAUAAAUUACAAAAAAUGUAUUGAUAAUGUGUUACAAAUCUUACAACAGUACUUAAAAAAGGUUUUUUCUUUUUCUUAACUUAUUCAUUCUACCAGAAAAGUUCUAGACAAGCACAAAACAACGAGAAUAGAUGAACAAAACUAACACAUUAUUAACCGCAUCCAUGACUUAAAAGUUAUAAAAUAUAGAGGAAAAACAGGGAAAAACUUUUCAAUGGGAAGACAGACCAGAUUUUAUUUUCAUCGAGCCCAUGCGAAGGGCCUGGUUAAGAUACGCCAGAUUUCACCAAGUAUACAAAUGGAACCUAACCAUACAUGUCCUCUGAUUAUAUCUUCUAAAUCGUCCCCACUAUCAAUCCAUCCUUCCCCUCCAAAAGGGGAUUUUAGUAGAAAACCAAAAAAUAUGAUACUCAAGCUAAGGGUCAAAAAAUAUAAUCUUUCGGAAAGGUUACAACCUUUUAUAAAAGUCAGAACUUUGCAUAAAAGUCACAAUUUUUCAUAAAAGUUACAACUCUUCAUAAAAGUCACAACUCUUCAUUUUCCAUUCACACCUUUUAAACCCAACAAUCCCCCGCAUGAAUGGGGAAUGACUCCUAGACAAAGAAACGGACAAGUAUGUGUACUUUACAAGCAAGAACUAAUUGCAUCUGGAUAAGUAGGUUUUCCUUUGAACUUUCCGUAGUGAACUUAUGUCGGAUAUACUCGGUCAAUCGAUAGAUUUGAUAUCUUUGAACCGUCAAGCUUUGGUGUAUACCUAGACAACCAUAUGUCACACAAUCAAGCCUUUACCGUUAUGGUUCUUAUGGUUGUGUUCGUUUCAGCCAUGAGACUUGUUGUGGUUCCUCCAAUUAUUUUUUAUUGCAUCUAGAAGUAUCAAUGCACUUCUUUGAAUUUUCAUGUAAUACCACUGAGACAGUGAAAGAACUGUACUGUGGUAGUGACAAUGGAAGAUGGUUCAUUAGAACUGAUGCUAUUAACAAAUUCUUGUAGUUAUAUAAGUUUCAGAUAUCACAUACUGGAAUAUCAACUAGUCUCAGACCGAUUUUGCAUAUUGUAUCUCUUUAUAUUUUGUUUCUAAAAUGUUUCUGUGUUUGAUGGAAAUAUUAAGUCGACAGCACACUGUCAAGGUGCUACAAUCAAAACUGAGAAAUAAUGCCAGAGUGAUGUGUGUGCAUCCGGGGGCUAAAUCUCUUUAUACUAUUUUGCUUAUGUGAUUGAUUUUAACGCCUUUUUUUCUUUGGAGCAAGUAUUAUUGGACUAUAUAUCAACAGAAACACACUGCAUAAAUUUGUAAUUUAUACUACACAGUAAGAAUUGAAGCCACAUCUAAAACUGUUCAGCGAAAAUAUUCAGUUAGACAAUUAUUAUUGCUUAAAAACUGAUUGGCAUUCGUUUCCAUUCAUUGCCAUAACUUCUUCUUCCCUUUCUCCACUUCCAUAGACACUAGCUCCUCGCUGUAAUCAAAAUAUCUUAUUUAAACAUCAACUGAUGCUGAGCCUUUUGAAAUUAUUGGAAAUGAAAAAAAUGAAUAGUAUAGCGCACCUAUUAGUUACCUGAAGUCAAAACUUAUUACUUGUCUAGAAAUGAUUGUUUCUUCUUCUGUAAUUCCUUUGCCUUUGCUGCUUCUUUCUCCUUCCCCUCAUUAUUUUGUGCUCCAUCUCUACAAUGAUUCUAGCAAGCCAUAUCGGUUUUCCAGUUGACAACAUGAAAUAUAAUAUGGAUAAUCCGAUACAUAGUCCACUUCCAUAGCCCAUAAGAGCACCUUUCCAAAAAUCACUCUGAAAUUCAGAAUUGCUUUCUUCAUCGUCUAGUCCAGAUACGGUAUCAUUUGUAUCUAACACCCGAGCAUCGCUGCAACUUUUUGAAACAGGGAAUCCACGUAAUCCAUCAUUGCCUUCAUAUGAACUGCUCUCAAAAGUGUGGAAUUGAGGUCCUUGAGGGAUGCAUCCUUGGAGAUGAUUGUGGGAGAGAUUUAAGAAUGAAAGAGACGUAAGAGAAGCCAGUUGUUGUGGUAUCUCUCCCGAAAGCUGGUUUCCUGAUAGGUCCAAUGAUUCAACUGAAGAUAAAUCUCCAAAUGAUGGUGGUAUAUGACCUUGCAAUCCAUUAUGUGAUAAAUUCAAUGUAUGAACUGCAAUGAGAUCCCCCAUGAUACUUGGAAUUUCCCCUCCAAAUUUAUUACUUGAAAGGUCGAUAACAGUGUACAAAUACAAGAUACUCGCAAUUUCACGCUCAAAUCCCUUUGUUACGACAGCUACCGUGUCUUGGUAAUAUCCAUCACUUGGUGCCUUCUUUGAUGGAUCAAUUGUCCUCAUGGCUUUCAAAUGUUUAAACAGGCCCGUAGGUAAGUUUCCCGUGAAGGCACUGGAAGAGAUAUCCAAUAUUUGAAGCUCAAGAAACAUGUUUUCACUUCCUAAAGUUCUAAUGGGUCCAUGCAACUUAUUCAAUCUCAAGCUUAAAACUCUCAACUUAGGAAGAGUUCCCAACCACAUCGGAAAGAUGUCAUUCAGGUGGUUAUCUCCUAAAUCAAGAACUUGCAACUCUUUGCAAUUGGCCAAAGAUUGAGG